rnacentral:rRNA from 1 species
UACGGGGGGGGCAAGCGUUGUUCGGAAUUACUGGGCGUAAAGGGCUCGUAGGCGGCCAACUAAGUCAGACGUGAAAUCCCUCGGCUUAACCGGGGAACUGCAUCUGAUACUGGAUGGCUUGAGUUCGGGAGAGGGAUGCGGAAUUCCAGGUGUAGCGGUGAAAUGCGUAGAUAUCUGGAGGAACACCGGUGGCGAAGGCGGCAUCCUGGACCGGCAUUGACGCUGAGGCGCGAAAGCCAGGGGAGCGAACGGG